CCAAGGAGUCUAACAUGUGCGCGAGUCACGGGGUUCCCGUUUGCCACGAAACCCGCUCGGGCGAAAUGAAAGUGAAGGCUCGACCGUUCGCGGUCGCUGCCGAGGUAGGACCCCGUCCCUCCUCUCCCUCGCGGAGGGAGGCCGGGUGCACUGCCGGCCCGUCUCGUCCGCGCCCUCUUGAUUUCGGUCUCGGGGUGUCGUCGGUGAGGCGGAGCAAGAGCGCACACGUUGGGACCCGAAAGAUGGUGAACUAUGCUUGAGUAGGACGAAGCCAGAGGAAACUCUGGUGGAGGUCCGUAGCGAUUCUGACGUGCAAAUCGAUCGUCAAACUUGGGUAUAGGGGCGAAAGACUAAUCGAACCAUCUA
rnacentral:rRNA from 1 species